UACCCAAACUUUUCAGUUGCUGGAAAAUGUGGUGACUCAAAGAGUAUAAUUUGUGUACCUCUUCCUUUAGGUCACGAAUCUCUCAAUUUCACGAGGCUGGCUCUGAGAUUUCUAUUGUCCUUGGCAGAUUCCUGGAAAUACAGGUUGCAUUGCCAGAACAUGUGCAGCAUCAGCUGUUGGACUUCACCUAGUUGGGCCAUUAGGAUUCAAGGUUGAUGAUGCAAAGUUAAAGCGAGCUGGAUUGGACUAUUGGCCAUAUGUGGUUGUUAAAGUUCACAGCUCAUGGGCAGAGUUCCAAGACUAUUUCAGGCAACAGGAUGGUGAAAAGCGGUUGCUCGCAUUUACAAAGAGAGGAACAAGUUUUCAUUCAGUAAGUUAUUGCCAUUUCAGUCUCACCGUCCUUCAGGAUUUUAUCCUGAUAAAUCUUCAUAACAAUCAAACCAGCAGUGAUAACCUUUGUCUGCUCGUUUUUUGUUUUUUCUGCUGUCUAUGUUCGUAGUUAGUUAAAUACCUCUGAUAUGUUUUAGUGCCUUUACUUUUCUUUCUGCCUGAACAUUCCCUUUUAGGGAGAGAGCUUAAUCAUUCUUGGUUUGGGUUCCUUGGUAAACAUCAAUGUUCUGAAUCAAACCUAACUUGAACAAUGAAUUUAUUUUUCUUAUGUAGAUGUCUUUUAUUUGUGACAUUGGCCGGUUGAUCUAAUAUGUUGUAAAUGCUGGCAGUAAUUGCAUUUCAUACACUCGAUUUUCAUUUUUCUUUCCUUGAAUCUUUUAGAGUCUUUUACAUUUGUCCAUUAUUCCAAUAAACUUGGGAAGAAAGGAUGCAGCAUGCUCGCAAGCAGUUGGCUGGUAAAUUUUGAUACUUGGUCACUCACAUAGAAAGCAAUACUGAAUUUCAAGGUGUUUGGUGGUCAUUGAUGGCUACAUCCCAUUAACUGUCAUGAGAUCAUGCGAACUGAUAGGCUGUCAAUUUGACAAUAGUCAUGCUGCCAAAACACUUUCCACAAUAUGCUUCUCUCAUAUUAAACAAGUGUAAACAAUUUACUCACAUUUCAGA